GACGGACGCUGGCGGCGUGCUUAACACAUGCAAGUCAAACGGAAAGGCCCCAGCUUGCUGGGGUACUCGAGUGGCGAACGGGUGAGUAACACGUGGGUGAUCUGCCCUGCACUCUGGGAUAAGCCUGGGAAACUGGGUCUAAUACCGGAUAGGACCGUGCUUUAGUGUGUGCGGUGGAAAGUUUUUCGGUGCAGGAUGAGCCCGCGGCCUAUCAGCUUGUUGGUGGGGUAAUGGCCUACCAAGGCGGCGACGGGUAGCCGGCCUGAGAGGGUGUACGGCCACAUUGGGACUGAGACACGGCCCAGACUCCUACGGGAGGCAGCAGUGGGGAAUAUUGCACAAUGGGCGCAAGCCUGAUGCAGCGACGCCGCGUGGGGGAUGACGGCCUUCGGGUUGUAAACCCCUUUCGGCAGGGACGAAGCUUUUGUGACGGUACCUGCAUAAGAAGCACCGGCUAACUACGUG
rnacentral:rRNA from 1 species